GAUGAACGCUGGCGGCGUGCCUAAUACAUGCAAGUCGAGCGAACAGAUGAGGAGCUUGCUCCUCUGACGUUAGCGGCGGACGGGUGAGUAACACGUGGAUAACCUACCUAUAAGACUGGGAUAACUUCGGGAAACCGGAGCUAAUACCGGAUAAUAUAUUGAACCGCAUGGUUCAAUAGUGAAAGACGGUUUUGCUGUCACUUAUCGAUGGAUCCGCGCCGCAUUAGCUAGUUGGUAAGGUAACGGCUUACCAAGGCAACGAUGCGUAGCCGACCUGAGAGGGUGAUCGGCCACACUGGAACGGGGACACGCUCCAGGCUCCUACGGGAGGGAGCAGUAGGGAAUCUUCCGCAAUGGGCGAAAGCCUGACGGAGCAACGCCGCGUGAGUGAUGAAGGUCUUCGGAUCGUAAAACUCUGUUAUUAGGGAAGAACAAAUGUGUAAGUAACUAUGCACGUCUUGACGGUACCUAAUCAGAAAGCCACGGCUAACUACGUG
rnacentral:rRNA from 1 species